rnacentral:tRNA from 1 species
GGGACUAUAGUUAAUAAUAACAUUUGAGUUGCAUUCAAAAAGUACUACCCGAUAGUAGUUAGUCUCA